rnacentral:rRNA from 1 species
AACGAACGCUGGCGGCGUGGAUAAGACAUGCAAGUCGAACGGGUUAAAUUUGGUAGUAACAUCAAAUUUGGCUAGUGGCGCACGGGUGAGUAACACGUGAGUAAUCUGCCGAGAAGUGGGGGAUAGCUUGCCGAAAGGCAAAUUAAUACCGCAUGUGAUAGCAAUAUUAAAGUCGGGGUAACCUGACGCUUCUUGAUGAGCUCGCGGCCUAUCAGCUUGUUGGCGGGGUAACGGCCACCAAGGCUAUGACGGGUAGCUGGUCUGAGAGGACGACCAGUCACACUGGAACUGAGACAC